GGCAGAGCAGCAGGGCAACUUGCUGCUGUGGUUUCCAAGUAUCGAUAAUAGGUAACUUACCCUGAAUACAAUAGGGGUAAAGUGGCGAACGCGGGGAACUGAAACAUCUAAGUACCCGUAGGAAAGGACAUCAACCGAGACUCCGGAAGUAGUGGCGAGCGAACCCGGACCAGGCCAGUGGCGAUUGAGAGACAAGCGGAACCUUCUGGAAAGUAGGGCCAUAGUGGGUGACAGCCCCGUACGCGUAAUGCAAUCAAUCGUCCUCGAGUAAGGCGGGACACGUGAAAUCCUGUCUGAAAUUGGGGGGACCACCCUCCAAGCCUAAGUACUCGUGCAUGACCGAUAGCGAACUAGUACCGUGAGGGAAAGGUGAAAAGCACCCCGACAAGGGGAGUGAAAGAGUACCUGAAACCGAUUGCCUACAAACAGUGGAAGCCCAAGGUUCGUCCUGGGUGACCACGUACCUUUUGUAUAAUGGGUCAGCGACUUAGUGUGACGAGCAAGCUUAAACCGCUAGGUGUAGGCGCAGCGAAAGCGAGUCUGAACAGGGCGUUCAGUUCGUCGCAUUAGACCCGAAACCGAGUGAUCUAGCCAUGAGCAGGUUGAAGGUAAGGUAACACUUACUGGAGGACCGAACCCAUAACUGUUGCAAUAGUUCGGGAUGACUUGUGGCUAGGGGUGAAAGGCCAAUCAAACUCGGAAAUAGCUGGUUCUCCGCGAAAUCUAUUUAGGUAGAGCGUCGACCGAAUACCCCAGGGGGUAGAGCACUGGAUGGGCUAGGGGUCCUCACCGGAUUACCAAACCUAACCAAACUCCGAAUACCUGGGAGUACUAGUCGGCAGACACACGGCGGGUGCUAACGUCCGUCGUGAAAAGGGAAACAACCCUGACCUACAGCUAAGGUCCCCAAGUUAUGGCUAAGUGGGAAAGGAUGUGAGGAUCCCAAAACAACCAGGAUGUUGGCUUAGAAGCAGCCAUCAUUUAAAGAAAGCGUAACAGCUCACUGGUCUAAAUAAGGGUCUUUGCGCCGAAAAUGUAACGGGGCUAAAGCCAUACACCGAAGCUUAGGGUUUGGUCCGCAAGGGCCAAGCGGUAGCGGAGCGUUCUGUAAGCUGAUGAAGCCAUACCCGUGAGGGGUGGUGGAGGUAUCAGAAGUGCGAAUGCUGACAUGAGUAACGUAAGGGGAGUGAGAGACUCCCCCGCCGAAAGACCAAGGGUUCCUGCUUAAAGCUAAUCUGAGCAGGGUUAGCCGGCCCCUAAGACGAGGCGGAAACGCGUAGUCGAUGGGAACCACGUUAAUAUUCGUGGGCUUGGAGGUAGUGACGGAUCAUUGAGGUAGUCCAAUCUUAUCGGAUUGAACGGGCUGCUGCGUGGUUCCAGGAAAUAGCUCCUCCUUAUAAACCGUACCCGAAACCGACACUGGUGGUCUGGUAGAGUAUACCAAGGCGCUUGAGAGAACUAUGCUGAAGGAACUCGGCAAAUUGCACGCGUAACUUCGGAAGAAGCGUGACCCUUUUCCACGCAAGUGGAGGAGGGUGGCACAGACCAGGGGGUAGCGACUGUUUAUCAAAAACACAGGGCUCUGCGAAGUCGCAAGACGACGUAUAGGGUCUGACGCCUGCCCGGUGCUGGAAGGUUAAGAGGACCCGUUAACCCGUAAGGGUGAAGCGGAGAAUUUAAGCCCCAGUAAACGGCGGUGGUAACUAUAACCAUCCUAAGGUAGCGAAAUUCCUUGUCGGGUAAGUUCCGACCUGCACGAAUGGCGUAACGACUUCUCUGCUGUCUCAACCACGAACUCGGCGAAAUUGCAUUACGAGUAAAGAUGCUCGUUACGCGCAGCAGGACGGAAAGACCCCGAGACCUUCACUAUAGUUUGGUAUUGGGAUUCGGUGUGGUUUGUGUAGGAUAGGUGGAAGACGUAGAGGCCUCGACGCUAGUUGGGGUGGAGUCGAUCGGUGAAAUACCACUCUGACCAUAGUGGAUUCCUGAACUUCGGACCCUGAUCGGGUUCAGGGACAGUGCCUGAUGGGUAGUUUAACUGGGGCGGUUGCCUCCUAAAGAGUAACGGAGGCGCCCAAAGGUUCCCUCAGCCUGGUUGGCAAUCAGGUGUCGAGUGUAAGUGCACAAGGGAGCUUGACUGUGAGACGGACGUGUCGAGCAGGAGCGAAAGCUGGGACUAGUGACCCGGCCAUGGCUUGUGGAAGCGUGGUCGCUCAACGGAUAAAAGGUACCUCGGGGAUAACAGGCUGAUCUUGCCCAAGAGUCCAUAUCGACGGCAUGGUUUGGCACCUCGAUGUCGGCUCGUCGCAUCCUGGGGCUGGAGUCGGUCCCAAGGGUUGGGCUGUUCGCCCAUUAAAGCGGUACGCGAGCUGGGUUUAGAACGUCGUGAGACAGUUCGGUCCCUAUCCGCUGCGUGCGUAGGAAAUUUGUGGAGGUCUGUCCUUAGUACGAGAGGACCGGGACGGACGAACCUCUGGUGUGCCAGUUGUUCCGCCAGGAGCAUGGCUGGUUGGCUACGUUCGGGAUGGAUAACCGCUGAAAGCAUCUAAGCGGGAAGCCUGCUCCGAGAUGAGAUUUCCAUCCAACAUUGUGUUGGGGGAGGUGUCCUAUAGAUGAUGGGGUUGAUAGGCCGGGUAUGGAAGCACUGUAAGGUGUGGAGUUGACUGGUACUAAUACACCGAUCACUCAUCCAA
rnacentral:rRNA from 1 species